CUCAACGACUUUCUCGGAGCCGCAGAAGCAGGAGCGCGACGCAAAGGUCAAAGGUCAGCAGCCGACGCCGUCGACGUCCGCCGCGACGGUGGCGCCUCCUCAGAAGAGUUUGCGGAAGCGGACGCCGGUCAGCCGGACGUGCAGAGAACGAAAUAGAGGGCGCCAGGAGGACGCGAUCGCCGAGGAAAAUGCGCAGACGCGCAGCAAGGUGGAGCAACUGAAGCAGCGUCUCGAGGAGCUGAGACUGAAGCGACACCAGAAGAAGGACGUGGCGCCAUCUACGUGCAGCGUGGUCGGAACGACCUCUGUGCGACCCCGGAGCGUGUCGGACGCGACAAGCUACGCGGUGCAGCGAAAGGUCGUGCAGUGAGCGUCGCUGCCGCAGAAAUGAAAGAUCGAGUGGUCUGGAGGUUCGUCACCGAAGGACACAGAAUCGUAUCCGCGUUGCGCGAUAUAAAACGAUAUAAACUCGAUGCAAAUCAUUGGAUGAAUACGGAAUCCACGUUUGCGCGCGCGGAACAAAA